rnacentral:lncRNA from 7 species
AGAGACAGAUGGAAAUAAGAUGCCAAAGGGCUGGAGCCUGUUUCAGAGAGAUUAAAGUAUGAAUAGUUAAUCACUGCUUUAAACAUUCCCUCAGCAACGGCGGAGAGGAUUUUGACUCCCCAAUACCUGCCUGUAGGGCACGGCUCACGGGGACUGUGCAUAGUGGGCGCUGAGGGUUGGGGUGGCCGAGGGGCUCACUGCUCCUUCCCCAUGCUGAAUCUGAAUGGGCAGUUGAGCCCUUCGCUGCUGCUUUUUAAGAAUUCAGUGAGAGCUCAGACCCGGUGGGCAGGCAGCCCCAAGGGGAGAAGUGAUGCUCUUCCCGUAGACCUGGCCAACAGAGUGCCCACGGAGGAUGAGCAAAAUCACUGCAAGGGCAACAGCAGCCCCAGCAGCUGGGGGUUCUUCCAAGAAUCCACACCAAGCGAGGAUGGAGAUUGGAUCUUCGGCCCCAACCCAGAUGACAACAGCAACAAAAGCGACGUCAACUGCAUCACCAACAGCGUGAAUGAGAUGAGCGAGAUGCCCGAGGUGCCGCGCCACCGUGACCGCCAGCCCCAGGACGUGGUCAUCGCCAUCAGCGAGACCUGCCACCUGCCACAGCAAACGUGAGCAGUGUGACAGGAUGGGCACGACAGGGAAGGACCAGGAGAAGUCUCCUUGUUCGCCUCUACCGCCGACAGAGGAUUGUCUGCUGCUGAGCAACCAGCGCUGCAGGGAUGGGGGCAAAGGAAAGGGGCUGCGGGAUGGGCAGAGCCCUCCGGGCUCCAAAGACAUUGCCAGGGCCACGGGCUCGUCAGUCCUGCGGGUCCAUCGGCUUCCUUUUUUUUCCCCGUGAAUAGCAAAAAAGCAAAUGGAGAAAUACAGUGAGCAGAGG